AUGGCGGGAGAUGGUCCAGGUCAGCUAAAAAAGGAUCAAAUCAAAUCAGUGAUGACCAAGAAAACUUCUUCUGGACAGCUUCUGCUUGAGUCCUCCGAACAGACAAGCUUUCAGAAAGAUCAUCUAACCUAUAAAUGCCUUUGGAAGAAAGAAGAGUUUGUGGUUCUUAAAAAUGGAAGGGAACUCGAAUUUGAAAUGAGGACAAGUACCUACAAGAACAAAAAACUCCUUUUUCAAAAUAUCAUCUUAAAAAUGCCUCUUUCUCAAGGAAAACAAGCAAACAAUGGAGUCAGAAAAGCAGUCCUGGCUCAAAGAUGUUUGGGAAGUAAAAAAGUAAGCUCAGCUUUAACAAAAACAAGGGUGUUAGCUUUGGCAAGAAAAGGAAAAAGUAUAAAGAAACAAAACAAUCCAAAAACUGAACUACAAAAGCAAUUGGAAAAUGCUCAAAAUCAGAAAAUAGGGGUGUCAACAGAAAUCCCCCUCCAGUUUGCCACAGCAGACUUUGACUUGUUGGCCAGAAGAUGGUGGUGGCCAAAAGGAGCAUUUUUAAAAGCAUCCCCAAAUCUUUUCACAUCAAGAAACAAUCAGGAGAACCAAGGAAAUAGAGAGAAUAAUCCCAAGCCACUAAAGACAUAUGCCCUCCACCCUUUAGAAGCAACAAAAGCGGUACAACAGAGUAUCAGAACGUGGAAACUGUAUAAGCUGAAUGUUGUCUCUAAAGAGCCUUGUAAAUCAGUGAAUUCAAAAAGAGCCCUAGGAGUAGAUGAAGAAGAGCCAAAGAAAGAUGAGAUUAUGCUGACAAUCCUUUGUAGAAAGCUAUUGUCUUUAAACAUUUCAGCAAAUGGUAGCAGUACUUGGAAGGUACAAUCAAGAAAAAUAUUUUUUGGACAUUAUGCAAAAAUAGGUAGAAAGGGUCUUCUGAUCUUGCUAACUUCCAUGAAAACAAGAUCAAUGGUAAUCCGAAAGACCCAAAGAGUUGGAAACAGAGUCAUUUUGUCUGUCACAAAAUGUGUUCACAUUAGUAAUGGCAGGUCUAGAGAACCUUGCAGGAAACAGAAUAGCACAGAUUUAGGAGAUAUCAGUCAAAUUCUUUCAAGAAAUGGAGGUCAAGAAGCUAAGUCAUCAACUUCAGAAAUUAUUCAAGAAAAACUAAAAUUCUUAUCGGCUUUUAAAGCAACAUCAAAAGACAAAGAAUGCAGGAUAAAAAUUUGGUCUGUCUAUGUAAGGCUACCUUUAAAACUUCAUGAACAAAAUGCAAAUACAUUUCAAAGAAAAACUGACAGGCUGGUGUACCAAGAUGGAAGUCAGGGAGACCCAAGAAUUCUUAAUAGAAAACCAGACGUGGUCCCAAGAGCCCCUUACUUGGAUAAUGAGGGGAAGACAUCUCAAUGGAUAAGGUUGGAAGAAAGUAGAGGAAAAAAUUCAUGGAACAGGGCACAACUUCCCUUCAUCGGCUUGCUCUGUAGUCAGCUUUACACUUUUAUUAUCAGAUCACACUCUAAUAUUAUAGUUAUGUCACAAAGGAAAUUGACUGCAUUUAUCAAGACAUUGAUGGCACAACUGCCUGGGAAAAGCCAACCAGCUUUUGCCAAGCUGACUGGAAUGUUGACAGUUCUUAAAGUUACUCUGUCUCCUAAAUCUUCUUUUCAUUUGGAAUCACAAGAGGCCAACUCUAUGUUCCCCAAUGUUCUCUCAGAGGAUUUAAGAUUAAGAAGCAAAAAAUCCAUUGAACCUGAUAAACAUAAUGUGACUGUGACCAACCAUUACCGGAAACUCCUUCAUGACAGUGACCAUUUGCCAUCUGACUUACUGUAUUUCCCUGGAUUUGCUCCUUCAAGAGAGCUAAAUAAGAGACAGAAACGUGAAGCUAAAGGGGGGGCUGAGAUGGUCGCAGUUCCUGUAGGCUUUUUGAACCGUCUUGCAUCCCUUCUUGGAUUUGGGGUCGGUAUUGUUACAGUGGCCUUCAUUUUUCUGUCAGUAGUGCUCUGCAUCCUAUUUUACAAAUGGAGGGAAACAUUUAAGAUUUGCAGAGAUUCACAAAUUGAAACAAAAAGUCACAAGUCAUCCAUCACAUUGGAGCCAAAUGUCCAUGGUAUUUCUCUGUCUCGAUGUUUUCAUACUAGUGGAAUACAGUUCUUCAGGAUCGUGGGGAAUUGA
ensembl:lncRNA